ACCGCCGAGUGGAUGACGUCAUACGCUACUCCCGUGUUGGCACGCAAACAACCCGGUAGCUCAACGCUAGCAUCCGGUAUGCUCGCAGUUAGCCACGUCUCACAGAAGCACAGCAAAUUGCACUCUCUGUAGGACUUCAGUCUUCACCAGCACAACCAGCUCAUCAGUCUUGUACUGCAUUCAUUAAUUAUUAUCAAACUGUAAUUUUACAGUAAUUUUACUUACAACCUGGCAACAUCAGACCUUGCAUGUUUCGGUGGAUUUGGGGCCCCCGAAAAAAAUGGGUCCCAUUCAUCCCUUAUUCCGCAAGAUUGUAAAAGUUGCUUGGAAUAACGUUCAGAUUGUUCAUUGCGUGAGCCUCAAUUGUUAUUUUUCUUUUUUUUUUUUCUGCUGACAGGUUUUUCCCUUUGUAUUUCAGAUACUACAAUGAAGACUUGUUGAAAUAAUUGGAUGGUGAAGCACUACUCAGUCUGACCAAGGGCCUCAUAUGUUUGCUUCAACAAGCUCUCUGUCUAGCUCCAGAGAGUUCCUUUAACUCCCAAUCAUACAUACCUUCCUUCCUUUCUUAUUUUCUUCCUGUGUAUGCCCGCGGGAGGCUCUAACCAGUUAUGAGUAGAACGCCUUUGUUCUUUGUUUAGUCCAAAGAACUUCUUUCUCUUUAAGUCAACUCUGUAGCUUUUAUUCAUAGAUUGUUGUUGAUUGGGACUGUUUUUCUGUUAUAGAAAAGACAUACAUGUUGAAGUAGUUGCAUAUAAGUUAUCUCAUAUUUACUCAAUGUUUUAGUAACAGCAUGCAAGUUAUCUCACAUUUAAUAUCUGUUGAAGUGUUUGUACAAAAGGUAUCCAAUAUUUACUCAUUAUUAUUGUAUGUUGUGUUAGUUUGACAAGAAAAUAAAUUUAGCAAAAGAAGGUCUAGUUGCAUUGUUUCACAGGAAAACGGCACUAAACACGCUUCAAGAUAUCUGAUCACAGUCAAGGACGAGUCAGCCAACACACGCAUGCACACACAGUCACACAAUUGUCUGUUUAUAAACAUUUCAGUUUAAUGUUUUGAAAAAGAAAAUACAAUAUUUGUCAUCAACUCAACACACACAGAACGAAGCAUGGUAGAUGUGAGCAGGCAUUCUGAAGCCAAGAUGUCAGUGGCAUGGUCACAGUUUCUGGAUCGGUCUCAGUCAUUUGGAUGGAACAAACCAUAAUUCCGCCUUGGGAGGCGUGUAGUGUACUCGGCACCUUUCGUUAAAAACCUGAAACAGAGAGUGAAGACAAUUUCUCACACUUGCCAUUUCUACUUCCUCUUUUUCUGUACCAUUGCUAGAUAAGAACAAAAGGGGCCUUCUGCGAUUAGUGUUGUGCGGUUGGCCCACUCUGUCAUUGUGCUAACGUGGAGAUGUUAGGUGCUAACGAGCAAGUGGAGACGUUAGAUGCUAUGAUAGUUUCUUGCGCAAGCUUUUUAUUUUUUCCUGUUCAUGCUAAACCAUGCGAUAUGAACAUAUCUGUUAGAGUUGUUAGGGUGGUGCUCACUCUAACUGAUUUUGCAAGAACCACAUAGGAGACAAGCAAGUCUUAGACACCUGCAGGCGGAGAGUUCACUCGUCGCUGUGCUUACAGCGAUGGUCAAAUGAAGUCUGACUCAGGCCUCAACAGGUGCAUAUUUAUUGAGAGAAACAGAGUGGGGUUGAAAGUGGGGGUGUGGGAACACAGGAUGAGGUGAAGCCGCUCCCCUGCUGAUCAAAGCAUAGCAGGGGGCCUUUUACGACGUUCUGUAAACAAAGCAACUUUGAUUGCUUCCUCUGCGUCUAGUGACUAGUCAAUCAGUUGAAAAGAUCUUAGCACUUUGGUCUACUACUUUUGUCUAGACAGGACAACCUAGUUAAAUUAUUACAGGUUACAUUCCAACAUAAUCAUACGAUGAAGAUAUUCUGCAAACCCUAACAGAGUGGUGCUCACUCUAACUUAUUUUUGGAAGAACCACAUGGGAGACAGUAUGCCCUUUUUGAGCACUUGCAAGUGGAGAGUCAUUUGUCGCUGUGCGUACAGCGAUGAUCGAAUGAGGUCUGACUGCAAGAGAGUAUUUAUUGAGAGAAAGCAGGCUGGGUGUGACAUUGGACAUGUUUGGUGGUCACCUCAGCAACUGGUUAAUCAGUGCGGAGGGUCCCAGCUCAUUGUUUUACAAGGUUGUGGAAACAGAAAUUAGUGGAGCAUUUUAGAUGACUAACUAAGCAAGAAUGUUUGGAUGUAAUUUUUUUUGUUGGCGUUGAUUUCUCCGACUGCCCAUAAACGCUCCGUGCGCGCACGGGAAAGAGGCGUGCGGACGUGAAAAAGGCAGCUCUGUAUGGGAGAGACGUUGAAGAGGAAUAAAAACACCCUUGGAAACCAAAACUUGCCCCUCGUCGUGACUCGGAGCCACAACAAAUGUUUCGGAUUUGUGUAGGGUACAUUGUAACCCAGGUGAUCGAGCAAGCGUCUAAUACAAAAGCAUUGCGUUCGUAUGGAGCGUGUUUGAAGUGAACAGCAGAGACGAAAGGAACAAGGCAACGUGUUGUGAAAUAAAAUAUGACCGACCUGUAAUACGCGUUUUGUUAUUUGCUGAUUGUAUUAAACUAUCACAUUCAUUGUCAGUCAAGAAGAGAAGAGGACUAUAUUGCUGAAGCCUUCGCUGUAUCAAAUUGAUUUUUUUUCUUCCUCCAGAGUCUUAUGUUUGACUCAUUGACGUCAAAUUGGCGCGCAGCUGCCCUAUUGCCUAAUUCUUCUGCCACUUCAAUGACUUUCUUUCAAAAUGCUACAGUAUAACUUGCUCUCUUAUCCAUUCUGAUGAAACUGCUAAUUGAACCGAACUCUCGCUAAUUAGUAAAUAGCUGACGUGUCUUGCGCAUCCGUUCUGCGCAGCUGACCCAUAGUGCGCAUGCACAGUCAUACUGCUUCUGCAUGACGUCCGGUCCGCGAUGGAGAUUAAAAAACAAACAAUAUUUGACAAUAACACACCAUCAAAGAUUGCACCAUCGCAUCAAACGAUGUGUCGUCAAUUAUGGAUUUUUUUGACUAAGUGUGUUGGGACAGGAUGGCUGAAUGCGAUGCGCGAUUGACAACAAACAAGAAGAAAGGUGAUUACAAGUUUUAUUUCGGGGGAGAUUUGUCGUGUCUCGUCCCCAGUUUUGCUAUGUGUCUAGGUUGCCAUAGUUUCUGUUCGCGUUGCCCCUCUCUUCCUGUGUCACUUCAAUCGAUGUAACGUGCUUUGUAUUUAAGUCCUGUCUGCCCCUCGCUCACCGUCGGAUCAUUGCAUGUGUUACUGUCAUGAUGUCUGUUUGCUUUCUGUUCCUGUCUUUGGUAAUGUCACCCUGUAUUUUUGUUCCACGACUUUGUCGGUCAAUCCUGUUGUUGGUUUUGUUUUCUAAAAAAAAUAAUAAGAAAAAUUAAAAAAAAAAAAAAAAAAAAAAAAAAAAUUAAAAAUCUUUUGUACCCAUGUAUAAUGCGCACCCCAGAUUUUAGGACAAUAAAUUCGUUAAAUUCUGCGCACUAUACACGGAAAAAACGGUAAAUAAAGUUCCAACAUAAUCAUACGAUCAAAAUAAUCUGUAAACCCCAACAGUAUCAUUGACAAGAAACUAAGAGAUACAUUUGGAAAGCUUUGGAGAUACGCUCGGGGCAUGCACUGGCACACUACACCUUUAAAAAACUCAAUGUGUUGCUCAAAUUUGCUGUUCUGAAAUUGUGUGUAAAACCGCCUUUAGACUGGGCAAAAGCUGGUUAUUGGUUUAGAACAGGGGUGGGCAAACCUUUUGACUGGCGGGCCAAAUUUGGUUCUAAAUUUAGACCGGGGGGCCGAACCAGUAGCAGAUGGAUGUAGUGUUUGUGCGAAAGAAUAGAAAUGACAUGUAAAGGUCAUUGCAUAAAAGGUUUGUACUUUUAGUAGGUAGUAAAGCA